rnacentral:lncRNA from 1 species
UUGAAACAACAAGGAGGUAGCAAAUGCACCAGGGCUUGCCUGGAUAACACUACGUUAGUGUUUUUAGGUGGCGACCACUUGGCGAUCAGCUUUUGUCUUGUCACUUGUUCAGAUUAUCCAUCUUUAGGUUCGUCCAUCAGCAUCACCUUGAGAUUAAUCCAGCUCUUGCCCUUCACAUCAUGUGAUCAACUAGCGUGCCUCAUGAGAUGCAUGAUGCACAUGUAUAAGCACGAGUAUAAAUAGCAUAAGAUAGAUAAUAUACACCGAAGAGGAUGAAAAACUUAUAACAAAACAUUAAGCAAAUACUAGCUAGCGAUGUACGACUAAUUAUAAUAAUUACGCUAUUCCAGUCUGUUCGGAGGUAACUUAUACAUCGCAAAACAAUAAAAUAUACACACGCUCUACUCUCCUUAACUAAUGUUCAACACUAGAAAAUUAACAAAUUCGAUUUAUUAGUAUAAGUCAUCUAAAUUUAGAAUAAAGAUAGAAGCAUAUUAACUAACUUUCUAAACCAUUUAUUCAAAUUAAUUUGGAUAUCAUACUAAUCACAUUAAACCCAUAUGUCUACUCAAACACUCCUUGCCACCGCGGUAUUUCAACAAGCAUACUACACAAGAUUAACCUCGCCACUUAUUACGUGUAUAAAACCUAGUUAAAUAUAUUCGACACAUACAACCAUCUAAACACCUUUCAUGUAACCUACGAAAAUUGACGAUUACCAGAUGAUGCUAUUUUUAAGACACCGUCACGAAUAAUACAUAUGCAACAAGCAUGGAUCAGACGACAUCACACAAUGCAUUAUGACCAAACACGAGAUUCAUCCCGACUAAAAAUAUUUGCCCAAGCUACUUAUUAAUCUAACAAGCAUUUCCGCACUUUCAGCUCACCAUAAUCCAUUGGAGGUAAAACAAACAGAACAUAAAUGACGAGUCCUUACCGCGAUCAAACCAACUUGAAAAUUCCCACAAUCGGCAACGAUCAUCAGUUUAGACGUUCCAUCAAACAUUUGGUGAGCACCGACCUAGAACUCCACUGUCUUCACCAUCAAGCGAUUUGCGCUCCGAAAAAGAAACGACGCAGCUGAAUCCCCAUGCUAUGAUGGUUGUUGCGCGUCGAGGCGAGGUUCGAGCGGGUUGACGGUGAGCAGGGGCGCGACAGCCGACAAGAUUGCGCAUAGAAGUCUGACGAUACAUCACAUGGUUGGUGAGGAUUAGAGUUAAGUCGACUCGAUAUUUGUAAGAACGACAACGAGAGCAAGGCCAUCCACGCGGCUGCUUGGGGAAGGCAAAGCAGGGACGUUGACCAGGCCCAUGGCGAGCUGAACCACGGCAGAUAAAAUAUGUUGACGAGAUAGACAACGGCUGGAUCCGACUUCACAGUCUUCUUUCCCAAAUCCACACAGACAUUGACCAAGGCUUAGGCUGCAGAUUUUCCUCCGUUGCUCCACGGAUGGCACAUGGACGGACGGCGAGCAGAGCAGGCAGGACGCCGGGCGUCACGGGCGAACAGGAAAAGGACUCGGGGCGGGAGCUCGACGCGCCGUGGCGAGCAGAGGGGCACGGCCGCGCGCGCAGCAGGGAGAAGCUUGGAGGCGACGACCAUGGCGAGCACAGGGAGGGAGCAGGCACGGUUGGGCUGGGCGACUCCAUGGGCAGACAGAGAGUAGGGUGAGGCGCCAGGGAGAUCCGACCGGCGCCACCAUAGGAGCAGGGGAGGAGCAGAGGCCGAGCUCGUCGCCGCUGGGCGAGCAGGGCGUGAUGGAGAUGGCCGAGAAGGAGGAAUCCGAGCGCCGUCUAGGGAGCAGGCACGCCAUGGGGAAGGGAGCAGAAGGGCGGCCGACGAUGGGGCUCUGAGCACCAAGCUAGAACAGGGAGGAGCAGGGGCGCCAGGGAGCUGCAGCCGGCCAUGGAGAGACCUCGGCUGGGGCGAGCACCAGGGAGGGCGGCCAUGGCGGGAUUUCUGCAGAAUGGGAAGAUGGAGGGGAGAUGGCUGGCGUGGAGAGCUUGGCCGCCAACAAGAUAAGGAGCCUAGCGCGGUAUAGGUUUCAGAAAAAAUCAACGAAGUGAUAGGAACAAACACAAAAAAAAAUCAACAACGGAGGAUAAUGCCGAGGGCCUGGGAAUCAGAUGAGGCUGAGGGAGUACGAAAGUAGAAGGAUAUUUUUCUGAGGUAUUUUUAUUUUUCUCCUUUCUUUCUCAAAGAAUACAGAAAUAUUCUGAUUCUAGGAUUAGAGUUUGGGUGAGAUAUAAACGGACCGAACCAAAACACUAUUGAAAUACGAUACUUGAGACACCAUUAAUUUAGUUGAACCCGGAUAAAAAUUUAUCUGUUAUCCGAACCCAUUUGAUUCCUUAGUUAACACACAGGGUCAAGAAUAUUUUGAAAUUAGGAUUUUCAGCGAUAACUAAAGAGUCGACGCGCUAUACGGCAAACGACUACACGCUCCAUUUUCCGAAUCACGAAACGGAAAAAUCCGAGGAUUACGAUUCUGGCUAAAUUUCGUUUAGAUCGUUUUCGUGACUAUUAUGGGCAAAACGUAAACUGUUGGGGACUUGUUCUCAAAUGCUUCAAGAACAAGGCAACAUAGAAAAUGUUAAUCGGUUAAGUCCUUCGUCCUACGAAGCAUUAUUUCCCUUGGGAUACAAUGAUUUUCGGACGAAGGUCACAAAGGGUGAACCUUUAUAAAUGCAUUACAUAUUAACGAAGAAUGAAUUACAAGAAACAUAAAGAAUUACGUAGAUCAUCAUAUAUCAUCAUUACAUAUAAAUAAAAAUAACAUUGAAUUACAGAUGUACCUCCAAUUUGAAGGAAGUGAAAGUACAAGUGUGACGCAAAAGUGAACACCAAAUCAGCGUGAACAGUACGGGGGUACUGUUCACCUAUUUAUAGGCACGGGGUACAACCCAUACAAAAUUACAUACAUGCCCUUUACAUUUGGUGGUAAUUCUAUAGUAAUCUAUCGAGGUCUAAAUGGCCUUUUCAUCUUCAAGUCGGUUCCCUUUUCUGCGAACAUGCCGAAGCUUUCCUGCUUUACAGCUUCGGCGCUGUGUCAACCUUCGUAUCUUUUGAGCUUCUCCCUCUCUGAUACGAGUCCGAAGAUACCUGUUCACACAUUAUACUCUAGAAACACUGUUAAAUCAUGUUUUUGAGGACCUUCGGAAGCCGAAGGCCCCCAACAGUAGCCCCUCGCAAUAUUAAUUUGUUAAAAUAAUAAAUUUAGAUUGCGACAUGGACGAAGGAUUUAAGCCGAAGGUCCGAAAAAACACCUUCCCUUUGCUAGAAUAGCAACAUUCACUGACAGGCGGGGUCUUUCCAUUUUUACCGCACCGAGCGUAUAAAUAAGAGCACACCGCGAGCUCAUUUGGUACGCUCUCUUGUCACUUGCUCUCGCUCGGUCGAUUUUUAGCUUUUGCGCGCUAAGAUUCCCUGAGUCUUUAAUUUUAAAGCUUCAGCUUUGAAAACAGUUUUUUAGUAUUUCCGAAGAUGUCUGGAGACAAGAAAGCUGUUGCUGAGACGAAGCUGUCUCUUGAUGAAGAGAAAAAGAAAACUGCUGGUGAGACGAAGCUGACUCUUGAUGAGGAGAAAAACUUGGGGUUUCUUAUAGCGAUGUCGAAGACAAACACGGAAAAAAUUACCAAGGAAAUUCUGGAAGGCUUGUCUGAGGAUACUGGUGACAGUGACAGUUAUGAUGUGGACAGCGGUAGCGAAGACUCCGAAGAUCGUCCCUGGCGACCAAGCCAUUCAGUUUAUGGUAAAUCAACUAUCAAAGAGAAUCAUCUUGUCAACAUGAGAGGAAGGUAUUUUCGGGAUUUGUCCAUUGUGAGGGCCGAUGAAGGAGAGAAGACUUGUCCACACCCUGAAGAAAAUGAAGUCGUAGUAUACCGAAGCUUUCUGAAAGCUGGGCUACGAUUUCCCUUGAGUAGCUUCGUCGUGGAGGUGUUGAAAAUUUUCGAAGUCUAUCUUCAUCAACUUACUCCCGAGGCAAUUAUAAGGCUAAAUAUCUUCGUGUGGGCCGCGAGAAGCCAAGGUCUGAAGCCUGAUGCAAGAAGCUUCUGUAAUAUACACGAAUUAUUAUAUGAAACGAAGCCUUGGGGCAAAGAACAGUACCAUAAUAACUUUGGCUGCUACAGUUUCGUCUCUCGGUCCGGGGCAAGCUGUCCCGUACCAACCUUUCGGAAGAGAUGGCCCGGGGAUUGGAUGACAGAAUGGUUUUAUGUGAAGAAUGACCUAUCAGCACGAGAAGAUAUCAAAGGUAUAAUUAUGCGUCCUAUUUGGCAAAGCUUCGGCCUUCGGAGGCCGAAGGUGGAAAUGAAUGAAGCUGCCGAAGAAUGCCAGAGGGCCUUCGGCGUCAUCUGCUCUUUUAUUGGAACAAGAGAUUUAGUACAAGAGCAUAUUGCCUUCCGGGUUUGGCCUCUUGCGGAGAAAUGGGAAAUGCCUCAAGAAACCAUAAAAGAGGCCGACGAAGGUGGGCUUGUGAGACUGAAGUACACCUUCAAGUUUGGAGAUAAGUUUACUGAGCCAGAUGAUGACUGGCUAAAGAGUAUUGAAAAUUUAACUGACGAAUUGCUUGGUGCUUAUUCAAAGGCCGAAGAUACUGCGAUGUCAGCAGCCUUCGGAGGCCGAAAAAAGAAAAGGCUGAAUCGGGUAUUUGAUGCAAUUGGGUUUGUUUACCCUGACUAUUGCUACCCCGUCCGAAGGCAGAAAAGAAAGAACACAAUCUCUGCAAAAGAAGAAGCUGCAACUGCUCCUAGCGAGCCAGAGCCUGAAAGAAAGAAAAUAAAAGUCCUCACUCACCGGCCGCGGUAUAUCGAACCAGCUUCGGUGCCGGAGUUUACCGAAAAAUCUUCUUCGGCUACCGAGGCUAAAAAGCCAACCAGACCAGUCACGCCACCUGCAGCUGCAGGGAUGACCGAAACGGCGAAAAAGAUAGUACUAGAAGAACCGAAGGUUUCGCUGCCAGAAACAAAAGAAAUGGCCGAAGCGCCAUCCACAGAAAAAAUUGGAGAAGUGAAAAAACCAACUGAAGAAAAAGUACCAGAAAUUGUGAGUCCUGCAGCAAAUGUUGAGACAAUAAAAAAUCAAAAAGUGCCAGCAGUGACUCCAAAAAGAAGAAGAAUGGCCAAUGUGCUAGAUGUACUAGAAACGAUUAAAACUUCAAGCACACCUCCGAAGAGGGCUGCUGCCAUUCCUGAAACGACAACUGAAAUUUCUGAUAACAAAACUCCAGUGCAAGGGACUGAAGCCGAAGCUGGGUCCUCAGAGCCCGCGAAGAUAGAAUCCUUAGAAACUGAGGAAAAAAUAACAAAGCCAACUUUUGUUGAAGAGAUCGGAGUCAUUGCCCCCGAAGCAUCCAUCAGAGCUCGUGAUUAUAUUAUUCGUCAUGCUUCGGGGAAAAAACUUUCAGAAAAAGAGGAGCAAGAAGCCCAGCAUUACGCCCAAAAGCUGAAGUAUCCAAAGGGGGCGUUAAUAUUCAAUGGUAGUGGAGAAGAAGACUUUUUGUAUUGUCUCCCUGACAACAAGGAAAUUUCUGUUUGCCGGGAGAUGAGCAAGAGCUUCGGAUUCCCAACCUUAGAAGACGGGCUCUCAGUGCUGUCGAAGAACGAUUUGGCCGACAGCCUGGCCUACAAUAGCUUAAAGGUGCGACAAAUGGGAUCCUUGUAUUCUUUGUUGAUACCAAAAAAAACCUUUUGCUUGUUUUAUUGAAACACACAUACUUUUCUUUGCAGGGCCUGAUACUUAGUAAUGCCCUCAGGGCACAAAAAGAUGCUGAAGACGAAGGGUGUACUAUAGCCCUGAGCAACCUUCGUUCCGAAGUAAUUGAACUGAGGAACGAAGGCCUCGAAAAAGAUAAAAUAUUACACUCAUUGGUAAAUAAAAUAAAGGAAGACGAAGCUGCGUUCAAGAGUCAGGCUGAAGCUCAGAGACGCGAAAUAGAAGAUCUUCGGAAACAACUGGCCAGAGCCAGGGAAGAACGUAUACUUGAAGAAACAAGGCGAGAGCUCAGCGACCAAUGGGCGGAUCACUUGGAAGCAACUGUUGAAGAGCUUCGUUCAUCAAAAAAGAGGUGCUAUAACAAAUCUAUAGAAUGUGUUAAGAAGUUGAAGGCUAGCUUCGCCAGGGUCGGCGCCUUCUCUAGUGAAGAAAACUUUAUAAGAGGCAAUCCCGAAGGUCCUAUUGAAUGGAUCGACCACGAAGCUGAAGCCUUCGAAGAAAUUUUAAAUAGCCGUGGGGAUAUAUGUGCUUUCUCUGGGGCCAGAGGAAUUGCCACCAUUCUAGAGAAGAAGGGCUGUGAACACGUAAAAAUCUUAGCACAAUCCGAAACUGCUUUGUCCUUUGAAGACACAAAAGACCCUUCGGCCGAAGCAAGCAUAAUUGGUGGAAAGUUUUUUACUGAUAUCUGGGAUAAUGGUGGCCGAGAAAUGGCAGGAGAUAUUAUUCAAAGAAGUGAAAAGGGCAUUCACGAUGCUAGAGAAGUGGCUAAGGCUGCUGAAAAGAGCACAGAGCCCGAAGGUCAAUUAGGUAUUAACUAAUAGUUUGUAUUGUGUUGUAAUUUUUGGUUUUAAGCUUCGUUUUCCGUUUGUAAUAGCAGCAUAGCCGUGUCCUGUCCUUCAGAUCCUGCUGAAGCGUCUCCAGGCCCUCAGCCGAAAGGAGACGAUGAAAUUAAAAAGAUGGCCGAAGCAAUCAUGGAUGAAGUCGUCAAUCGACUCCUGAAUGAGGCUGCAGAAGUUGUUCUAAAAGAAAAUUGAACACUAUUGUAAAGUAAACUUCUGAAUUGUAACAUUUUGUAAUCCUGAAUGUAAUAUACCCUUUUUAUUGCUUAAUUCUUUACGAUGCAUGAAACUUUAUACGUACCGCUUUUUGAGUCUUUGACGAAAAAACACCUUCCCUUCUUUUCAUGCUUCGUGAAGAAGGAUUUUUGUUUGUCACAACAAUAUCCAGUGUUCUGAUGAAUAAUAUCCAGGCUUCUUGACAAUGUGAAGCUACUUAGCAUGGUUUACCCUUUUUCAAAACAUUCUUACGAAGAUCGAUGUCACAUCCCCUUCUUGUGCUUUAUGCAAUAUGAUGUAUGAUGCUUAUGUUAUGCGAAAUGAUGCGAUGAUGUUAUGCUGAAUAAAUGUUGUUUAUUCCGAAGAUACACGCGUUCCUGUGGCAAAACAUACAAAAAUUUUCAUUAUAAGCCUCCCUUAGGAGCUUCUUCGCCUUUUACUUCAGCGGAAUCAGCGUUGACUUUUCGCUGUAAGCUCUGCAUUCCCUUAGGAACGUCUUUGGAGCUUCUUCGCCUUUACUUUUGGCGGAAUCAGCGUUGACUUUUCGCUGUAAGCUCUGCAUUCCCUUAGGAACGACUUUGGAGCAAAAAACUUACACUGCGUUCCCUUUGGAACGACUUUUUUGUGACUUCGGCAACUUACUCUGCGUUCCUUAGAACGACUUUUUGCUGUUUCGAAUAAAUUCGGUAGUCCGAAGGUCCUCUUGAUUAUCACAAGUCUUUAAACUUUAACAAUUUAAGCCUGAGAAAAAUAUAUUUUCCUUGUGGGAAUCAACGAAAGUAUUUAUAUGAAACCUAAACAAUAUCCUUUAUUACAGAAAACAAAACUGGAUAGAAAAGAUUGCUAUUAGGGUAGGAUAUUUGUCAAUAGAUGUGCUUUGACUCUGGCACGGUGCUGUUGACUGUACGAGCUUCGGACUGCUCUCGGAAGUCCCUUUGGUGUGGAGCAUACUGGCUCCCUUCUGGCUGCUGUCCUUGCUGUAACGGAGGUGGAGGCGGAGGUUGUUGCCAAGAAGCUUGAGAUUGACUCGUCGAAGCAACAGAAACUGCAGGGUGGUUGCCUACAUACUCUGGGAUGUAGGGCGAGUGAUACGAAGCUGUAUGCAUGACCUGCUUCGGCUGAGCUUGUUGUGCUGCGGCUUCGGCUAUUUCCUUUUGCUUCUGGAUGGUAACAUGACACAUCCUGGUAGUAUGGCCCUUGUUUUCACCACAGAAUAAGCAAAAGAUUCUUCUCUGUUGAUCGCCAAAUCUUCCUCCGAAGCCCCUGGCACCUCUGCCUCUUGGAGCUGGUGGUCGGAAGGGAGCUUGCUGUUGCCCCGAAGCCUGUGAGGAAUAUUGUGGCCUUUGCUGUUGGCUCCCCUUAUCAUCACUUUGUGUAGAGUUAUGAAUUGAUCUAACAUGCCUCGGGUAAAACCUCCCACCGAAGCCCCUGGUCAUUUCAGAAAACCUGAAGGCCUCCUCCCUUCUUUGGCAAAAAUCGUUAUCGGCCCGAAUGUACUCAUCCAUCUUCUGGAGAAGCUUCUCCAAAGUUUGAGGGGGCUUCCUGGCGAAGUACUGAGCUGACGGUCCUGGCCGAAGCCCCUUGAUCAUGGCCUCAAUGACAAUCUCAUUGGGCACCGUUGGUGCCUGUGCUCUCAAACGCAAGAACCUUCGGACAUACGCCUGAAGGUAUUCUUCGUGAUCCUGGGUGCACUGGAACAGAGCCUGAGCAGUAACCGGCUUCGUCUGAAACCCUUGGAAGCUAGUUAACAAGAGGUCCUUCAGCUUCUGCCAUGAAGUGAUCGUUCCUGGUCGAAGGGAGGAAUACCAGGUUUGAGCAACACUUCUGACAGCCAUAACAAAAGAUUUGGCCAUGACCGCAGCAUUGCCACCAUAGGAAGAUACUGUUGCCUCGUAGCUCAUCAAAAACUGCUUCGGGUCUGAGUGGCCAUCGAAUACGGGAAGCUGAGGAGGCUUGUAGGACGGAGGCCAAGGUGUAGCCUGCAGCUCAGCGGACAGAGGAGAAGCAUCGUCAAAAACAAAAUUCCCAUGAUGGAAAUUGUCAUACCAGUCAUCUUCGUUGGGAAAACCCUCCUGAUGAAGGUCUUGGUGCUGAGGCCUUCGGUGUUGCUCAUCCUGAGCAAGGUGACGAACUUCUUCAGAGGCUUCGUCUAUCUGCCUCUGUAGUUCAGCUAGUCUGGCCAUCUUUUCUUUCUUCCUCUGCACUUGUUGAUGAAGCAUCUCCAUAUCCCUGAUUUCUUGAUCUAGCUCGUCCUCUGGUGGUGACGGGCUAACAGCCUUCCUUUUCUGGCUUUGGGCCUCCCGAAGAGAGACUGUCUCCUGAUUAUGGUCCAGCGGUUGUAGAGCUGCAGUCCCAGGUGCUGAAGCUUUCUUCGGCGCCAUAACGAAGGUUUAUGAUCGCCGAAGAUAAAAAACUUCAAAGAGUGGAAGUGAGUUCACCGGAGGUGGGCGCCAAUGUUGGGGACUUGUUCUCAAAUGCUUCAAGAACAAGGCAACAUAGAAAAUGUUAAUCGGUUAAGUCCUUCGUCCUACGAAGCAUUAUUUCCCUUGGGAUACAAUGAUUUUCGGACGAAGGUCACAAAGGGUGAACCUUUAUAAAUGCAUUACAUAUUAACGAAGAAUGAAUUACAAGAAACAUAAAGAAUUACGUAGAUCAUCAUAUAUCAUCAUUACAUAUAAAUAAAAAUAACAUUGAAUUACAGAUGUACCUCCAAUUUGAAGGAAGUGAAAGUACAAGCGUGACGCAAAAGUGAACACCAAAUCAGCGUGAACAGUACGGGGGUACUGUUCACCUAUUUAUAGGCACGGGGUACAACCCAUACAAAAUUACAUACAUGCCCUUUACAUUUGGUGGUAAUUCUAUAGUAAUCUAUCGAGGUCUAAAUGGCCUUUUCAUCUUCAAGUCGGUUCCCUUUUCUGCGAACAUGCCGAAGCUUUCCUGCUUUACAGCUUCGGCGCUGUGUCAACCUUCGUAUCUUUUGAACUUCUGCCUCUCUGAUACGAGUCCGAAGAUACCUGUUCACACAUUAUACUCUAGAAACACUGUUAAAUCAUGUUUUUGAGGACCUUCGGAAGCCGAAGGCCCCCAACAUAAACGAACCAGAUUAAAAUGAGUUUGACUUCAGUAUUUUAAUUUGCAUUUGAUUCAGUUGACUUUAGACGAAUUUUAAAUAGGCACAAGGCUAGCAAACUUUCAGAACAAUUACGUUCUGAAAUUCGCGAAAACUUUAGGAGGAGUCUAAAUAGACAGAAACAGAUGCGAUAUUAAAAUCGCGAUAGAUAAAGAUGAUUACAAUUUAGCAUCUAUUUUAUCCACCGCUAUCAUGUGUUAAAGUCCGCACUCGUGGUCGAGCAGAUGAUAAACACCUGGGGUGUUACAGCCCUCCCCCCUUAAAAGAAUCUCGUCCCGAGAUUCGGAACGAAAGACUUCUAAGAGUAGAGAAGCAUGUAACCCAUGUCCAUAUCAGCGGUAAUCAUAAGCGAGCGUCUCGGGGUUUUGUUUCUCUAGUGGACAUAUCAUGUAUCGCCUUAAGCUAAUUUAGAGAUGUCCACCAAUAUAGACGAUGUCUGCCAGAAGAACACAUAAGGUUCCAUGUGUGCAGUUUGCUUUUUCUGAUGACACUGUACUAUCUGAGUCUAUUGAGCGAACGACUAAUACGCGAUUUUACCCAAACAGAACCAGAUGCAACCUCUUGGGUAAAACACACGGAAAGAGGUUUACCAACAAGUGGUCACUGGAAAUUCAUAACACAUAAGACGAGUGUGGAUGUCGAACAACAUCACAGUUAACUCGUGUUAGCCAGAGAAUCCAAGUCCAUGGAAAAUGAUAGACUCGAAAAAUCACCAGCGAAGGGAUCUGUAGAUGCAGACUUUGCAACCAGUCCAUUUUAUCCAGCACUAAUCAUGGCUCGACUUGAUCACACACGUUGGUAAACCAUACGUGAGACGAUCGAGGCAUGACUAUAGCGAUAAUUAGGUGGUUAUUAGUCGACUUGACUUGAUUCUUGCAAGUACUUCCUUAGGAUGGGUUGAACCAAAGUGAGUUUAGGCAACUCGACAAAACGAUCUCUAAACUUAACCUUUGUUCACAAUGUAGCUACAAGUUAGUAAAACCAACUUGUUGAACUACCUAUGACAUUGAAUAGGUCCUCUUAUUAUCCAUCGGCAAGCCAAGGGUUGAGAGUUCAUUCUUAUUAAUAGUUGAUCAUGCAUUUGGGUAGAAAUCCAUUUGGUCAUGUUGUUCAUCCAUUUCUUCCAUGUGAGAUGAACUGACUUGGUUAGGGAAUACAUGGAUUAAAUAAGAAAGCGAAUGAACAAACUCUUGCAUUUCAGCAGCAGGGAAAACCAAUCUCCAUUUUGAGAGCUAAUCAGUUGUUUCUCAACACUAAAAAGCUUCAAAGCUUCACCUUUACACAAAGGACGUAAAGGGAACUUGUAUAAGUAGUCACUACCAAGAUCAAAAGAAAAGAGACCACAUAUGAAAGUGGUAUGCCCCUUUGAUCCAACAGAGAUUGUUGGGGCGAAGGCGAAGACGCCACCCUUCGCUCGAGGCCUUUGCCGCGGUCGUUGGUCCAACGGAGACAAGACAACGGGCAGGAACACCCUUCGCUCCAUACGACAUCGGACGAAGACCUGUGACGAGGUCAUCCCACCGUGCGGCCUCGUCCAGCAUGGAGGCCCACGUGUGAUUCGGCCCAUUGUAACAGGCCCUGCGUGGUCGCUGCGUGUUACGGGCCUAAUUUGUAAAGGCGCCUCUGUAAUUACAGUCUGUAACCCCGCUUUAUGGGAAUAUUCUGGGGAUAACCUAGGUGUCUAAGGGCACAUGCGUCCUUAACACAAGACGCUGGGCACUCAGAUACCUAUAAAUACCCCCGCACAGUGCCCUUGAGAGGCUAGAUUAACAGAGCUAUUGCCAUCUUGCGCGAGAACCCUGUUUACGUCUCUACACACCCCCGUUGGAUCCCCUUGCGACAGAGAGCAAGUUCCAACAUUUGGCGCCCACCGUUCGUGCGACGAAAAAACCACCCGCGAUGGCACCCAAGAAAGUUAACUCGAAGGCUGACGAGGCUGCGAAGGCAGCACUGCUGGCCACAAAAAAAGGCAAGGCCCUCGCCCUCACCCACUCCACUCACCACGAGGCUACUGAAGACGACGUUCUCCGCACCUGCGAAGACGUUGCUCUCCGCACCUGCGGCCCUGAAGGACAAUCGCAACCCCCCAAGGCUUCGCCCCACCGGAGGGCGCGGACCUCACCGAGGACGGCGAGGUCCUCGGCGUCUCGGCGGAAGAACAGCUAUAGCUGCGCGCCCUACGCCUCAAGAACCGCAAUCUCCAGAGGCAAAAAGAGAUACUGGAGGCCAAGCGCCAGCGUGUGUCCGCACUAGCCAAGGUGCGGCAAAUGAUACGCGACGAAGAGCACUAGGCCCAGGACCUCGAGCGGGAGAUCCCGCUGAUGCAGCGCGAAGGCCACCUCGGCCUGCAGCAUGGGCCACCCCUGCAACAGCGCGCACAACUGGAAGACAUGCGCGAAGGCCACCUUGGCCUGCAGCAUGGGCCACCCCUGCAACAGCGAGCACAGUUGGAAGACCCGCGUUUCCCCCAGCGCGACCACGCCUUCCCGCACGCCGUGCCAUUCCAAGGGGUCAACUACCUCGAUGAGCGAAGUCCCUUGGCGCCACAUCUGCAUUGGCCCGCCAACUUCCGGACAGGGACCUAUCCCAAGUACAACGACAGCACUGACCCAGCACAAUACAUAAUGAGUUAUCAGGUCGCUGUUGCAUCUUCCGGAGGGGACGACGCCACGAUGGCCAAGUCUUUCAUCAUCGCCCUCGAAGGUCCAGCUCUCACCUGGUUCACCAGGUUGCCUCCGCUGUCCAUUGAUUCCUGGAGAAGCCUCCGGGACAAGUUCCUGCUCAACUUCCAAGGGUACCGCCCGGACACCGACGCCUUGGCCGAACUCUCGCUCUGCAAGCAGCUGGAAAAGGAGACUCUGCGGGAGUAUUACCGCAAAUUUCUAACACUCAAAUCACAGCUGCCCUCAGUCAAUGACCAGAUCGCCAUCCACUACGCCAUCAGUGGCCUUCGCGCCGGCGUCCUCUAUAGCCACUGCAUCAGAGAUCCGCCCAAGAACCUCUAGGAAUUAUUUCAGAUAUUUGAAAAAUACGCCAAAUGCGAAGAGCUCCACCAGCGCAAGGUUGAGUCUCAAAGGAAGCCCAAAGAGGCUCCACAGUCCAGCCGCACGUGGACGAGGACUCCGCAGCAAGACUCCGGUCGAGACGGCCGCAAUCAACAGUAAGUGCACAACAUCGCCAACCAGCACCCCGCUGCUGACGCCCCUCGUCGCCAGGAAUAUCCCCCCCAGGGCCACGGAAGUGGAACUCGCGGUAGGGGCCGGGGGCGUGCGCAGCCGCCGCGCCGAUUCUACUGUCUCUUCCAUGGUGAAGACUGCGCCCAUCAAACCAAAGACUGCCCAGAAACGAAGGCCACCAAAGACAGGAUGGCACGGGCACAGCCAGCCGACAACCCCAGAGUUGUCGCGCACACUUAUCAGCAACCCCCUCCACCCUACAUCCACGCCCCCGCCCCGCAUCCACCGCACCACGCAUACCAACACCACCAGGAAGUACAAAUCGUACCUCCUCCAUGCCACCUCCACACCAGCAACAUCAGAACAUCCCCCACCCCCACGCCCCAAAACAAGAAGACUUCGCCGAUCAGCCGUAUCGCGGAGUCAUUCAUAUGAUCACUGGGGGGUCCAGCACCGACUUCGACACAAAGCGGCAGAAGCGGGACCUCUACCGCAGCAUCAACCACGUCGCCAUCACCGGCCCGGUCGUGUAGACGAAGUGGUCCCACGUACCGCUAACCUUCGACGCACGAGACGUCGACCUGCGCAGCGCCCCCCACAUCGACGCCAUGGUUAUCAACUGCAGUGUGGCAGGCUAGGAUCUACACAAAGUCCUAGUCGACAAUGGCAGUCAAGCAGACAUCAUUUUCCUCCAUGCCUUCGACCGCAUGGGCAUAAGCCACAGCCUGCUCAAGCCUUCGGACAACCCGUUGUAUGGCUUCGGCGGCAAGGGCACUUUUCCUGUCGGCAAAAUAGAGCUGCCUCUCUCCUUCGGUGUAGCACCCAAUGCCCGAAGUGAGCAAGUGACCUUUGACAUUGUGGAUAUGGUAUAUCCGUACAACGCCAUCAUGGGCCGGGGCUCCAUCAACAAGUUUGAGGCAGCUAUUCACGGACUGUACCUGUGCAUGAAGAUACCAGGUCCGUUAGGCGCCAUUGCGAUCUACGGCAAUCAGCAGACCGCGCGCAACAUAGAGCGGGACAUCGUCCCCAGACAAAGAAACGUGCACUGCCUCACGGCCCAGCGCGAGGUCCCUGCGUCCGUCAGCCCAACCGACAAAGAGCACGACAAGGCACAGCUGUAGAGCAACGACGGGACCAAGACUGUCCCCCUCGACCAGGCCACGCCCAAGCAGACAGUCACUAUCAGCGAAUACCUCACUUCGCAUGAAGAGGAGAAACUCCUCUGCUGCCUGUCCAAAAACAAAGAUGUCUUCGCCUGGUCAGCCCUCGACCUGGUCGGGGUCAGCCGAUCCAUAAUUGAGCACAGCUUGGGAAUCGACCCUUCGGUGAGACCAAAAAAACAGCGGCUUCGCAAAAUGUCCGACGAGAAGACAGAGGCCGCCAAGGCAGAGGUGCACCGCCUCCUGGAAGCCAAAUUCAUCGAGCCGGUGGCUUACCCCACGUGGCUCUCCAAUGUUGUGAUGGUGCAGAAAAAGAGCGACAAGUGUCGAAUGUGCAUCGACUUCACCAGUCUCAACAAGGCCUGCCCAAAGGACAACUUCCCGUUGCCGCGGAUCGACAAAAUAGUCGAUAGCGCGGCCGGAUGCGAAGUCAUGUCACUCCUCGACUGCUUCUCCGGUUACCACCAGAUAUACAUGAAGGAGGAAGACAAGGCUAGCACCAGCUUUAUAACACCCUUCGGCACAUAUUGCUUCAUUAGAAUGCCGGAGGGACUCAAGAACGCCGGGUCCACCUUCUCCAGGCUUACCAAAACAGUGCUCGAAGGGCAAGUUGGCAGAAAUAUAUUCACAUAUGUGGACGACAUCGUCGUCGCCAGCAAGAGCAAGGAGGACCAUCUCGCUGACCUCGCCGAGACAUUCGCGAACAUGCGAGACACACGACUCCGCCCAAACCCAGAAAAGUGCGUCUUCGGCGUUCGCCAAGGCAAAAUAUUGGGCUACCUGGUAUCACACCGCAGCAUCGAGGCCAACCCGACCAAAAUUCAGGCCAUCAUAAACAUGACGCCUCCGCAGUCCGCCAGAGACGUCCAGCGCCUGACGGGCAGAUUGGCCGCCCUCAACAGAUUCAUCUCCAGGUCCGCUGAGCGAAGUCUUCCUUUCCUCAAAACUCUCCGUGGCGCAAAAGACUUCACUUGGGGACCAGAGCAGGCAGCGGCCUUCGCCUCAUUAAAAUAGUACCUGUCGGAGUUGGCAGUCCUUACAAGCCCCGACUCUUCACUCCCCUGUUGCUCUAUGUUGCGGCUUCGCCGCAUGCGGUUAGCGCGGCACUGGUGCAGGAGCAGACAGUUGAGGGCGUGAUCAGGCAGUGCCCAAUUUAUUACGUCUCCGAAAUGAUGACACCGUCCAAAUGUAACAUGACAGAACUGGAGAAGAUUGCCUACGCAGUCGUUAUGUCUUCGCGCAAAUUGCGCCAUUAUUUUGAAGCAUUCAAGGUCCGGGUCACCUCAGACAGGGGACUCGGCGAAUUGUUCAGAAACCUGGAAGCAUCGGUGAGGAUUGCCAAGUGAGCGGCCGAACUCUCCGGCUACCACAUCAAUUUCGAGCCCAGGAUAGCCAUCAAGUCAUAAGUCCUGGCAGACUUCGUCGUCGACUGGACUGGGCCAAUAACACAGCCGGACCCGUCCGCAGAGAAGGUUUGGACGAUCCACUGCGACGGCGCAUGGUGCCAUGCGGGGGCAGGCGCCGCUGCAGUCAUCACGUCACCAACCGGAGUCAAGCACAGAUAUGCAGCACGCCUCAGCUUUGCUCUGGAAUCUGACAGAUGCACAAAUAACAUAGCAGAAUACGAAGCAGUCAUCCUCGGCCUCCGCAAGCUGAGGGCCCUUGGGGUCACCACCUGCAUCAUCAAAACAGACUCCAAUGUAGUUGCCGGCCAAGUUGAGAAAGACUAUGCAGCAAAGGACCCCGCACUUAUGCAAUACCUCACGGCCAUUCGAAGUCUCGAGAGACAAUUCAAGGGGUUCACCUUGCAGCAUGUGGACCGGGCCAAGAAUGAAGAGGCCGACGCAUUGGCCAAGGCUGCCGCAAGAGGCGAGUCCCUGCCCUCCGACCUGUUCUUCCAUGUCAUCGGCACGCCAGCCGUCCGGAGCCCCGAAGGGCUCCAAAUAACCAAUGACAGCGAGGGCCACUGCAUAGUCAACCUUAUCAUGACCGAAGACUGGCGGGCACCAAUAACCCUGUUCCUACAGGGGUACUAUCAACCAACCGACAUCAGCGAGGCCAAGCGCCUCAAACAUCGAAGCCGGGACUUCGCACUGAUUGAGGGCCAACUCUACAAGAAGGGGGUCAGUCAGCCAAUGCUUAAAUGCGUCACCGAAACCGAAGGUGUCCAGAUCCUACGCGAAGUCCACAGUGGUACCUGCGGCUCUCACGCAGGGCCAAGGGCCCUAGCUGCUAAGGUGAUCCGCCAAGGUUUUUACUGGCCGGCAAUGAUCUGCACCGCAAAUCGGGUCACAAGGUCCUGCGAAGCCUCCCAGAAGUUUUCUCCUCGAUCAGGCAGCCCCUCGCAAUUUACAAAGCUGAUCGCCCACACAUGGCCUCUCCAGCGCUGGGGCUGGACAUCGUCGGGCCCCUGCCCACGGCUCAGGGGAACCUUAAGUUCGCCUUCGUCGCUGUCGAAUACUUCACCAAAUGGAUCGAGGCAAGGGUUGUUUCCAUAAUAACAUCAAAGACUGCCCAAAAAUUCUUUUGGCAAAACAUUGUUUGCCGCUUCGGAGUACCGUCCGAACUAACAAUUGACAACGGCAAGCAGUUUGAUAGCCAAGACUUCAAGGAUUUUUGCUUCUCCAUUGGCACCAAGCUUGCCUUCGCCUCAGUCUACCACCCGCAGUCCAACGGAGUUGUGGAACGCGCCAAUGGAAAAAUCUUCACAGCUAUCAAAAAGAUGCUCCUCGACGAAAAAGGGCAGGUGGACAGAUUUAUUACCAGAGGCGGUCUGGGCGCUAAACACGACUGAGUGCAGGGCGACCGGUUCACUCCUUUCCGCCUUCUAUAUGGAUCGGAGGCCAUGACCCCACAAGAAAUAAAACAUGGGUCCCCGCGAACAGUUCCGUCAGCCGUCCCCGACGUGGACGAGCCCACUUCGAAGGAUCUCAUCGAUGGAGACCGAGUCUUCGCCUUACAGGCUCUAAAUAAAUACCAAGCCCAGACAAAAGCAUGGCACGACCACGCAGUCGUCCCGAGGGAAUUCAGCGAAGGGGACCUCGUACUCGUCCGAACAGCUAGGACAGAGUCCAGGGGCAAGCUGGAGCCCAAGUGAGAGGGCCCCUUCAUUGUUAAGACGAAAGCUUCCCCCAGCGCUUACAGGCUCGCAACGCCAAACGACGAAGACCUGGAGCACUCCUGGAACAUUGACAAUCUUCGCAAAUUUUUUGUUUGACUCAUCAGGGCCGAUUCGCCCUUGUAAUUCGCAAAAACAAUUUUAUUCUGGCCCGCACUCUUUUCCUCCUGGGGGUGAGGUUUUUAGCGAGGCGGAGCCAUGUAAUAUACAAGUGAAAAAUCCCCCGCAAAAACAUGCGUCGAAAAAAGACCGCGACGACGGUCUUCGACAUUCGACCAAUACAAAGUCACCGCGAGGCUCAGCGCUAGCCACCCUCGCGUGCGACAACUCCGUGCAGAAGUUGCCUAAGGGUGCAGCCGGACUAGCACAAUAAGUGCGAAAAAUCGAAGUCUACCGCGAAGACUAUCCGUGCAGAAGUCGCCUAAGGGUGCAGCCGGACUAGCACAACAAGUGCGAAAAAUCGAAGUCUACCGCGCAGACUAUCCGCGCAGAAGUCGCCUAAGGGUGCAGCCGGACUAGCACAACAAGUGCGAAAAACCAAAGUCCUCCGCGAAGACUAUCCAUGCAGAAGUCGCCUAAGGGUGCAGCCGGACUAGCACAACAAGUGCGGAAAAUCGAAGUCUACCGCGCAGACUAUCUGCGCAGAAGUCGCCUAAGGGUGCAGCCGGACUAGCACAACAAGUGCGAAAAACCAAAGUCCUCCGCGAAGACUAUCCGUGCAGAAGUCGCCUAAGGGUGCAGCCGGACUAGCACAACAAGUGUGAAAAACCGAAGUCUACCGCGGAGACUAUCCGUGCAGAAGUCGCCUACGGGUGCAGCCAGUCUAGCACAACAAGUGUGAAAAAUCGAAGUCCUCCGCGAAGACUAUCCAUGCAACAGUUGCCCAAAGGCGCAGCCGGACGAAGCAUAACAAAAGCGAAAACGACUACACCAAACUGUCCGCGCAAAGACCGACUACAUGCGCACCAGUCCAGCAUAACAAAUACACGUGACCAAGUAUGUAACACCUUCGCGAGCAUAGCCGAAUGUGCGAGGGCACACAACUUCAUCAUACAAGACAUUACACAUGUACAAGCGAGGGCAUCACACUCUACAUCGGCUCAACCUUCGGAAUAAUUCCCAUCUCCAUAUAGUUAAAUAACAUUAUCCUAAGCUCCUCACCUGCAAAAAGACUUCGCAAUUCCCCCUCACCUGCACUCACGGCGGCCGGCAAGGACAACAGUUCCUGCCGGCCAGCCCUACUCACACGAAGCCGACCACUGUCCGCCCCACUCACUCUACGCUUCGCAACCGCCCUUCGCCGCCUACGCCCAGUACUCGGACCAGGCACAACUUCAGCAUCCGCAGCGUGCGGCGAAGCCUCCGCCGCUGCCACAUCCAAGGCCGCAAAGUAGUCCAAGUCCUCAUCCGACGACUCCUCAGUCCACUCAACCGAGCUCCCAGAGUCACCAAAAUCAGACAACUUAGAUGGAGACCCAUCCGAUUUAUUACCAUCAUCCACGGUCGAAGCCGCCAAAAAAUUAGUAGUAGCAGUUGCGUGCGCAGGCCCAAAAUCUUGAACCUGCGCAGCAACCAAGAUUCAGCAACAUAUCCAAAAUUCCCUAACUACCCACACCCACUAUGCCACCUGCGAAGACCCAGCCGUCGCAGGCUCCUCCGCUGUCGACUCCGCCGCCACCUUCACAGGAUCCUCAGCCCUCCGCGCGGCAGUUGGCGACGGGCCUCCGCCGGCUGCGGUGGCUGCGGGGGCAUCAGGAGCGCCUUCGGCGGUUUCCGGAGGCGGCUGCAGGGCGGCCUCGGGCACAGCCUCCGUCGGGUUCGGCUCCGGGUCAGACAGCACUCUGUUCAAAGCCCCGAAGUCAUCCACCCUCUCGCCACGCGCUGCCUGAGACACAGCACACAAAUUCAGCAAACCCAUACAUAGCCCACAUUCAACAAACACCAAACAAAAGCCAAACAUUACCUGACCCCUCGCUGUCUCGGCCCGCUCCCUGACCACCUCUCGACCGUAGGGGCCCCACAUCUGGUCGUAGAGGGCUCCGGCGGAUUCCUUCACUAUAGGGUCCUCAACCUUGUAGAUAUCACGCUCGAAAUCCUCAUCAGCUUGGUCGAAGACCUCAUAGUGCCGGCACCCUUCGCGAGAGAGCUUGUUCAUCGCCCCCUCGCAGGUGACCAGGGAAGCAUAAGACAUAAACCCCUCCACGAUAGUGGGGAGCGCCUGCAACUCCUCCUGCACCCACUCCAGGUAGCGAAGUCCGGGCUCUCGGUCCGGCACUUCGAAGUCAGCGGUCCGCGCGCCCAGUUCAUGGUAUGAAUCCAUAAGCUGUUUGCGAGUCCGCUCAGCCUCCGUGCUCGUCGCGGCCUCGGCCCUCUCCACACGGCUCUGCAGAGCGCGGAGCCGCUCCUCCAACUGCUCGGCGCGCUCCCUGGCAAGACUGCCCUCCACCCGUGCCAAAUUGGCCUCCGCCUGCGCAGCCUGCGCCUUGACGAGGGCCUCAUUGGCCUCCUUCCUCUCCUCCGCCAGUUGGCGCCGGAGGUCAGUCUUCUCCCCCUCCAGCGCGGCCACCUUGUCCGCCAGCUUGCGGCACUUACUAUCGGCGGCCGACUUCUCCCGGACGGCGUCAGCAUGUUGCGUCCGAAGUCUCUCGACUUCGGCAGACACAACUGCCGUCAGGGCCCCCGACACCGCGCGGUCUGCGAAGUCAGCCGCCUACAAGACACACAUAAGACCACAGCCCCGGCGAAGCCGGUAAAAAAACCGAAGUCUAGCUCAACGUACCUGACUCAGUGCCUCCUUCAUCUCCUUCAGCCGGGGGACACAGCACCCGCCUCGUCCCUGACGGCAAUGAGUGCCGGCAUCUCGCCGCCGGCACUAAGGGCACCACCCUUCGCCCUUGGCACCACGGCAGCCGUCGUGGUCGCCGCGGCAGGCGGAACAACAACAAGUUGGCCUUCGUCCGACCCUGCGACGUAUCAACAAAUAAAAAAUAACAAAAAAAAUCGAGCCAACGACUUACCAACAAGAUAAUCGUCCACGCUAAUGUCGGUGGCGAAGUCGGCGACGCGCUUGCCCGACGGCGGCAACUCUCGGGCCGCCUUCGCGGCCUCCGGCACCCCGCUGGACGCCGGUGCAGCCUUCGCAGACUUGGAACCACCGGCGGCAGCCGCAGCCUUCGGCGCCUUGUCGGAUGCAGGGACGGCCGACUUCGCCGCCAGCGGCGGCUUGCCCCCGCCGGGGGCAGCAGCCUUCGCAGCCCCCCGCUGCCUCUUCGGCCUGGCUUCAUGAAGCCUGACGACCGCGCUGGCGCUUCUGUGCAGCUCCCUGGCGAUCCUUGUCCAUCACUUCCGACACAACAGCAGCAAUAUUCCGCCCGUAAGGAAACACUUUCCAUUCACGAACCAUGCGAGAUGUAAAAAAGUCUUCGCCGGCCGCGCGGGGGAUAGGAACAUUCUUAGGCCACCAACCCCCGGUAACCCUCAGCAUCCGCGCCGAAGACUCCCGGAGCUCGGGCGAAGACAUCCUUCCCCCCGGGGCCGCACAUGUCCUCAUCAAUUCUCUAGCAAAACCAUCGGAAACCCCAAGUCCUCCCAUAGCAGUACCUAGUUUCCUCUUCUUAGAGGACGGGGCGGCCGCCGGCGCGGGGUCGUCUCCAGACUCUACCACCGGUUUCUUCCCGCGACGAUCCACAUCGUCUUGGCCGGGAUAACCGCCAUAUGGCAGACGAUUCAACUCAAAAACCCUGUUCAAGCGGUCAUUCGACCCGCGAAUAUCCCAGCUACGCUGGCCCUCUGUCCUCGGCACGUACCGACCAACGAUCCGCAUCGCCCCAUCCUCCGCCUCACGCACAAAGGCGGCCGGAUCGCGGCUAUGUAGAUCAAGCGCGAAGGCAGGACUUCGCACCAGCUUCCCACCAUGGGAAGGCAUCUGGCGAGGGCACACUUCGCCCAACGCCCAGCCAUGCGCCAAAGGCCAUACCCCGUACGCCACAAAUUCCUCAACCAAAUCGCGCCCGCUGCUCAGGUCGGCGGCACAUCGAAGGGCCCCUUCGUCUGCAUCAUCCUCCGCCACUUCAAAAGGCGGGUAUGCUGAGUAAAGAUGUGAGCACAUCUCGGACACGGGGAGCCCCUGAUGGUCUUCGACUGUACCCUCCGUGACGUAAAACCAAAACUCAUGCCAAUUGCCCCACUUGUUGCGGGCGCAAGGAACCAACUCAACUACCUCCAUCGUGGUCUUGCCGGUCUUCGGCGUAAAUGUACAGGACCCAAACUGGGCAACUUCAUCUCCAAUCAUCCUUUUCUGCCAGUGCAGGCAAUAGUACUUCGCGAAGACUUCGACUGAUGGCUGUCCGCCGUACGAAGUUGUCGCCUAGACAGACUUCGACAGAGCCACCACGGCAUUCGGAGUCAACUGAUGGAUCUGAACAUUAAAUCUGUGCAGGACUUCUCCAACAAAUCGGUGCGCAGGCAGGCGGAGACCAGCGGCGAAGAACGCCUCAAACACAACCAACUCGCCCUCUGGCUCGGGGACUUCCUCCGUCCCCGGGACACGAGCGACUCCGCCGCCAAAGUAACCCAGCCGCUGCAUAUUUUGCACGCGGACCGACGACAUCCGCGACACACCAAAAUCCACCGUAUCGCUGGCGCGCAACUCCUCCGCCGCCACAGUACUCAGCAUUUCCUCAGACGACGCGUCGGCCGGCGGCGUGGCGGCAGCAGAAGAAGAAGAGGUCGACAUCGCUACGUACCGUCGCCAGCGACGGGCGGUCUGCUUCACUCGAGCCAGAUCUCCGGCGAACAAGAGCAAGGAGGGCAGACGAGCAGCAAGACGGUGGAAAAGGCGGCUAGCGUUUUCACGGAGCGCGGAAAGAUAAAGUUCAAAACACGCCGCCCCCACCCCCUUUUAUACACAGGGCGUGACGCUUCGGGAAACCCGCAGUCCAACAGUACGGUGUCAAUCAACGGUCAUGUCAAAAACCCCCGCGGAACCACUUCGAGGGAGGGCAGCGUCUCCACCAUCUAGCGACGUCUUCGGCACCAGAUGACUUAGUCGAACUGGUCCCUCAGAGGGCAAAUGUUGGGGCGAAGGCGAAGACGCCACCCUUCGCUCAAGGCCUUCGCCGCGGUCGUUGGUCCAACGGAGACAAGACAACGGGCAGGGACACCCUUCGCUCCAUACGACAUCGGACGAAGACCUGUGACGAGGUCAUCCCACCGUGCGGCCUCGUCCAACAUGGAGGCCCACGUGUGAUCCGGCCCAUUGUAACAGGCCAUGCGUGGCCGCUGCGUGUUACAGGCCUAAUUUGUAAAGGCGCCUCUGUAAUUACAGUCUGUAACCCCACUUUAUGGGAAUAUUCUGGGGAUAACCUAGGUGUCUGAGGGCACAUGCGUCCUUAACACAAGACGCUGGGCACUCAGAUACCUAUAAAUACCCCCGCACAGUGCCCUUGAGUGGCUAGAUUAACAGAGUUAUUGCCAUCUUGCGCGAGAACCCUGUUUACGUCUCUACACACCCCCAUUGGAUCCCCUUGCGACAGAGAGCAAGUUCCAACAGAGAUGAUAGAUGUUGCUUGAUCACUUGACAAACAACAUAGAAAUUGUUUCAAGGGAAAAAUUUACAGAAGAUAACAUAUUUGGGUAGUUCCAUAAUGGAUCAUGACUAGAGGCUUUGAUACCAGCAUCCGACGAGUAGCACAGUCCUGUGUGCGCAUUCACAUGAGACUCUCAGUUUCGCUGCGGCACCAUAAGUCAUUAACCAUGACACCAUCCCCGAACUGGCACCAAUAAUGAAUCCCACGUGGUAAAUCUAGAUUGUGCCAAGAUAACACAUUGAUAUAGUCUCAUAAUGGAUUACAACUACUAAUCGUGAUACCAGCGCGUGCCGAGCAGCACAAACCGUGUGUGCGCGCACACAGAAGGCCCCCAGUUUCGUCGCGACACUGUCUGUUUUAGUCAUAACGCCAUUAUCAAACAUAGCCAAUAAGGAAUCUCACGCGACACAAAUAGACUGGGCCAAGAUGACAAUAUACAAAAGAGACUCCACCUGUAAGAAUGAUUACAAGUAGAGAGCCAAAUAGAUCAUGGCCUAAUGAAAUGAACAAGGCAUGGCUAUAGCCUAAACUUGUUGAUGAAUGAGCACGAUGGGAGACUGUUAAUUCAGCCCCAAGUAUAUUUCUAUGCCCAUUGCAGAGAUUAUAAGGUCAAGGAUUUGUAUCUGAUUGGAUACAGAAGGAAAACAAUCAUAAGAUUAAGUUGGUAUGCCUUCGAUAGAUAUGAGGAAACCAAAGGCAUCAAACUCAAGAAAAAUUAUCGGACAUGCCUUUCCUAGGUUGGGUUGAUAAAGCAACAUGGCGAUCCUUAGGAACAGGCAAACUGGAUAAGGUGCAUCAGCUUGUGCCAAUCGAACAAGGGCAUGGUCUAGUUUUGGGUUUAAGUAAACAAGUCACCAACCUUCUAUCGGCACAUCUAGUACAAGAACAAACACACAUAUAACACCUAAAUAGAUUACCUAAAGAAUGGAGGAUAGCUAUUUCAUUGGGGUUCAUAGUACAACAUUACACCACAUUAUCUACAAUCACCAAGUAUUGGAAUAAAGAUGAGAGAAGCAUUUUGGGUAUAUAGGUGACAAACAUGAUGCAACAAUCAGGAUGCAUGCUCGUCUUAUUCGUCCUCACUGAUUUUGCCAACAUAAUGUGGCAAUAGCGUUCUAUAUCGGUGGCAUACUUACGACUCUCUCGGUAUUUUGCUAGUCGUCAACUACACAAACGUUCUCGAGGUUAGUGUACCUGCAGAAAAUUCCAUCACAGCCCAAUUUCCCAUGAUGCAAUUCACACAUGACAGUUUAUCACAGUUUAUACUCCAUAUAUUUCUAUAUGGAGGCCAGCUCAUCAUUAAGCGCCGAGCCACGCAUAGGCGCCGUCGUUGCCACACUUUAACCAUAUGGCAGCUCAUUAUGGUAACUCACCUUCUUACCUGAGCGUAAGUGCAUCAUUACAAGUACAUCACACUUCUCAGUAUUCCCAUGUAUGUAUACCCAUACACAUCCAUGGGGUACUGAAUCCUAGAAAAGUAAAUACUCCACAUCGCUGUCUUUAUAUAUACAUAUGUAGAACAUGUAUGUAGUCGGAUGCCACAUUUAAACACUCCCCUAGACCGACGUUUGUUCGGUCAUGCUUUCACAUCUCACCUUACCUGAGCGUCGAUCCAUCCACAAUUGAAUGGCCUCAAAAAUAACAAUACACAUGUAUGCAAUAUCCACCCGGUUAUGGGUUAUGGUUUUCAACUAAGCCACCUGAUAGUCCUUAAUUUAGGGCUUAACAGAGGAUGUCGCUAGCAUUAUUGUUUUUCAAAUAUGUUUUUCAAAACCAAACAAUGGGUUUAGUUGAAAAUAGGUUUUCAAAAACCAAAACUUUGUUUUGAAAAUAUGUAUGUGACCAUAUUAUACUUAAUCCUGCUCUGAUACCAGCUGUGGUAGAACCUCCCAAGUUAUUGAGCCCACAUGCACCUGUCCUUGUCUCAAAGACCUUAGACGGCUAUGCAUGUGCACCAGAUAACUUAACAGGAUCUGUCCGAGUGCCCCAAGGACCCCGAAUAAACCACUUACUACCAGGACCGCAGGAUUAAGUAAACACAAAUCACACACCAACAAUUUGCAGCGGAAAUCUUAUUACAAAAUUUUACAAGUUACAUCAAGUUUACAAUGUACAGGAUCAGAGUGAUUACAAAAGUGAUUCAAAGAAAUAACUUUGAACUGUUAUAAAUUAUUUAUAGUUUUGAAAUAUAUGCUAGCUUAAGUGACCAUCCUCAAUAAGAAGUAUAGAAAAGUUACUUAGACUUAUAAGAAGGUCGUGCCCACCGACGCUUAACACCAAUCAUAAUCAAAGUGACUCGUAACCUGCAGCAACAAUGGGAAUAAAACCCUAAGUACGCAAGUACUCAGCAAGACUUACCCGACUAAAGAAAAGACUCUCAAGGGUAUGCUGGUUUUAAAAGGAUUCAAGGUGAGGCUUAUCAAGAACCAAGGACUCUGUUUGCAGAAAAGCUUACUAUGAGUGGAUCCUUAAAAAUCCAUUUUACUUGUCAGGUUAAGUAAAGUUACCUGCAUCUAGAGUUCUUUCUAUCCUAGUUCAAGCACUUGGCCUAUACUAGCCGUCUUUUAUCAUCCCAUCAGUUCACUGGAUUGCUACGUGUAGGGCAGUGACCAAGUCUUCAUGUCCGAUAAGUAACGGCGAUCCGAAUCGAUUAAUACCCAGCUGGGGAUCUUCAAUCACACGGCAUAUGUAGCACUUAACCCUUGCAUAUGUCAACUCGCCACCGGGUCUCUUAAGACCAGACCGAGUUCACGCCAACCGAGAGCAUAGAUACACCACCGUCCAGCCUCUUACCACGGAGGGUACACACUACUCUCACCAUCUCUCCACUCCCAUUGCGUGUUGGCCUUUCUGGUAUUAGUCUGCCCGAGGCAAAGCUUACCCAUGAUGAGGCAUGUGACCAGUUAAAAGGUCCUCAAUCAGCAAGCCUACAUCGACACGGUCCUUAAUCGACUCAGACGGAGACACUACACCGAGACUCUCUUCUCGUGCAAGUCACCCGUUCGGUCUCAGCUUUAUUAUUUAAAACCCAAAGUUUGGUACCUGGCAGAGGUACAUCUUUUCCGAUGUUGAACCCAUCAAGGCCUUUGAUGGAUCCACCAUCACAAGUUUUUUUUUGCAAAAAUUCCCAUUCGCUGUGAAGCAUCACCUUUUGUUUUUAAACAAAACAUUUUGUUUUUCUAUAGCAAGGCUAAGCAUCAUAAAAUUCCUUUCAUAAAAAGGUAUGAAGGAAGGGUAAUCAAUUUUCCAAGGAAGGAAAUGCAUCAAUUGUUUAGCACACAACUCCUAUCACCUAAUGCAUCAUAUAAGGUGAUAAAGAUUUUAAAAGACCAAGGAGGUGGCAAAUGCACCGGGGCUUUCCUGGAUAACACUACGUUAGUGUUGUUAGGUGGCGACCACUUGGCGAUCAGCUUUUGUCUUGGCACUUGUUCAGAUUAUCCAUCUUCAGGUUCGGCCAUCAGCAUCACCUUGAGAUUAAUCCAGCUCUUGCCCUUCACAUCACGUGAUCAACUAGCGUACCUCAUGAGAUGCAUGAUGCACAUGUAUGAGCACGAGUAUAAAUAGCAUAAGAUAGAUAAUAUACACCGAAGAGGAUGAAACACUUAUAACAAAACAUUAAGCAAAUACUAGCUAGCGAUGUACGACUAAUUAUAAUAAUUACGCUAUUCCAGUCUAUUCGGAGGUAACUUAUACAUCACAAAAUAAUAAAAUAUACACACGCUCUACUCUCCUUAACUAAUGUUCAACACUAGAAAAUUAACAAAUUUGAUUUAUUAGUAUUAGUCAUCUAAAUUUAGAAUAAACAUAGAAGCAUAUUAACUAACUUUCUAAACCAUUUAUUCGAAUUAAUUUGGAUAUCACACUAAUCCAUUAAACCCAUAUGUCUACUCAAACACUUCUCGCCAUCGCGGUAUUUCAACAAGCAUACUACACAAGAUUAACCUCACCACUUAUUACGUGCAUAAAACCUAGUUAAAUAUAUUCGACACAUACAACCAUCUAAACACCUUUCAUGUAACCUACGAACUCAUGAUUACCAGAUGAUGCUAUUUUUAAGACAUCGCCAUGAAUAAUACACAUGCAACAAGCAUGGAUCAGACGACAUCACACAAUGCAUUAUGACCAAACAUGAGAUUCAUCCCGACUAAAAAUAUAUGCCCAAGCUACUUAUUAAUCUAACAAGCAUUUACACACUUUUAGCUCACCAUAAUUCAUUGGAGGUAAAACAAACAGAACAUAAACGACGAGUCCUUACCGUGAUCAAACCAACUUGAAAAUUCCCACAAUCGGCAACGAUCAUCAGUUUAGACGUUCCAUCAAACAUUUGGCGAGCACCGACCUAGAACUCCACUGUCUUCACCAUCAAGCGAUUUGCGCUCCGAAAAAGAAACGACGCAGCUG